CAUAAACAUCAAGUAGAUAUUGUAAAAAAAGUGAGCAGGUGUAACUGAACACCAGAAAGUGUGUUUGACAAUCUAUGUGAAUUUACCAGCUUGGGAGUAGGAAAGUUUCUUAGGCUAGGUAUUCCUUGAGAAUAGCAAGAAUUAUACUGUGUUUUUCUCAAUCUUCAGCACUUAGCACACUAUCUGAGGCAUUGUCGGCACUCAACAGAUGUUUCUUUGUAAAAUGAGCAGAAGAACAGAUUGAUGCAGCAACUGAAACCUGAAACAGCAUGAGUGUGAUGAUCACAAAGCCCCUGCAGAAAUUAAAGACAAACUCAAGAAGCUACCAUAAAUGGUGGAGAGAGAGGCAGAAAAGCCCUGGAAGACAGAGCAGAAAGUCACCACUUUACAAGACAAGAAAUUGAGGGUAGGGAGUUGGAAGUGAUUUGAAGGAGUUCCACUGGUUAAGAAGCGGCCAAGCACCUCUUAAGGCAUCUGUUUCCCUCUGUGUCCUGCAGUACUGUGCUUCCUGAGCCAGCCAUACUGGAAACUGGGAGAUAAAUUAACGCAGAGGAAGAUGGAAGAGUGAAAAAGAACAAGUCUGGGCAUGAGAAAACUCACUCCGAGGGCUGUGCUCUGCUCUUGAACCUCAUAGGCUUCUGUCUUCAGAACCUUCCCCUCCUGGGGGUCUUACCCUGGGGUACAGAACAGAAUUCAAUGGAACUUAUUUCCUUUAUGCGUAC